rnacentral:rRNA from 1 species
AGAGUUUGAUCAUGGCUCAGGACGAACGCUGGCGGCGUGCUUAACACAUGCAAGUCGAACGGAAAGGCCCUUCGGGGUACUCGAGUGGCGAACGGGUGGGUAACACGUGGGUGAUCUGCCCUGCACUUUGGGAUAAGCCUGGGAAACUGGGUCUAAUACCGAAUAGGACCGCGCGCUUCAUGGUGUGUGGUGGAAAGCUUUUGCGGUGUGGGAUGGGCCCGCGGCCUAUCAGCUUGUUGGUGGGGUAAUGGCCUACCAAGGCGACGACGGGUAGCCGGCCUGAGAGGGUGACCGGCCACACUGGGACUGAGAUACGGCCCAGACUCCUACGGGAGGCAGCAGUGGGGAAUAUUGCACAAUGGGCGCAAGCCUGAUGCAGCGACGCCGCGUGAGGGAUGACGGCCUUCGGGUUGUAAACCUCUUUCAGUAUCGGCGAAGCUCCAGGAUUUUUCUUGGGGUGACGGUAGGUACAGAAGAAGCACCGGCCAACUACGUGCCAGCAGCCGCGGUAAUACGUAGGGUGCGAGCGUUGUCCGGAAUUACUGGGCGUAAAGAGCUCGUAGGUGGUUUGUCGCGUUGUUCGUGAAAACUCACAGCUUAACUGUGGGCGUGCGGGCGAUACGGGCAGACUAGAGUACUGCAGGGGAGACUGGAAUUCCUGGUGUAGCGGUGGAAUGCGCAGAUAUCAGGAGGAACACCGGUGGCGAAGGCGGGUCUCUGGGCAGUAACUGACGCUGAGGAGCGAAAGCGUGGGGAGCGAACAGGAUUAGAUACCCUGGUAGUCCAA